AUUCAUCAUUCUCCAAUAUUCAUCCUCUGGACAAGGGAAUUUCCAGUUAUCUUUCUCAACACUCAGAGGAAUUGCUGCAGGAGUCAAGCAUAUCACGG